GAUGAACGCUGGCGGCGUGCUUAAUACAUGCAAGUCGAGCGGACAGAUGGGAGCUUGCUCCCUGAAGUCAGCGGCGGACGGGUGAGUAACACGUGGGCAACCUGCCUGUAAGACUGGGAUAACUUCGGGAAACCGGAGCUAAUACCGGAUACGUUCUUUUCUCGCAUGAGCGAAGAUGGAAAGAUGGUUUCGGCUAUCACUUACAGAUGGGCCCGCGGCGCAUUAGCUAGUUGGUGGGGUAAUGGCCCACCAAGGCGACGAUCCGUAGCUGGUCUGAGAGGAUGAUCAGCCACACUGGAACUGAGACACGGUCCAGACCCCUACGGGAGGCAGCAGUGGGGAAUAUUGGACAAUGGGCGCAAGCCUGAUCCAGCCAUGCCGCGUGCAGGAUGAAGGCCUUCGGGUUGUAAACUGCUUUUGUACGGAACGAAAAGGUCCUUUCUAAUAAAGAGGGCUCAUGACGGUACCGUAAGAAUAAGCACCGGCUAACUUCGUGCCAGCCGCCGCCGUAA
rnacentral:rRNA from 1 species